rnacentral:rRNA from 1 species
GAUGAACGCUGGCAGCGUGCCUAAUACAUGCAAGUCGAGCGAACAGACGAGGAGCUUGCUCCUCUGACGUUAGCGGCGGACGGGUGAGUAACACGUGGAUAACCUACCUAUAAGACUGGGAUAACUUCGGGAAACCGGAGCUAAUACCGGAUAAUAUAUUGAACCGCAUGGUUCAAUAGUGAAAGACGGUUUUGCUGUCACUUAUAGAUGGAUCCGCGCCGCAUUAGCUAGUUGGUAAGGUAACGGCUUACCAAGGCAACGAUGCGUAGCCGACCUGAGAGGGUGAUCGGCCACACUGGAACUGAGACACGGUCCAGACUCCUACGGGAGGCAGCAGUAGGGAAUCUUCCGCAAUGGGCGAAAGCCUGACGGAACAACGCCGCGUGAGUGAUGAAGGUCUUCGGAUCGUAAAACUCUGUUAUUAGGGAAGAACAAAUGUGUAAGUAACUAUGCACGUCUUGACGGUACCUAAUCAGAAAGCCACGGCUAACUACGUG